GGAGGUAUAGCUCAAAUGGUAGAGCACAUGCUUAGUGUGCAUGAGGUCCUGUGUUCAAACCCCAAUACCUCCU
rnacentral:tRNA from 1 species